UGUGACGGAUGUUAAUAAGGGUGUGUACUCACAAUCUAUAUUAAUGUAUUUCACUAAUGAUCCCUCCUUUCAAUUUUCAUGUAUUUAUUUUGUAUUUGCCGUUCACGAAAAUGUGAUAAUUUAGGUUUGUCCUUUAUUUGAGUCAUUUUUGGGAAAUGAGUUUUAUAUUGAUUUUACGUUGUGACGUCAUAUCUGUUCAGCCCGCGCUGCGUCCUCAGACCGCGCUGAGCACGCUGAGGAGAGGUAAGCAGUUAGCGGUGCUCCGCCAAUAUAAAGUUGUAAAAGUUACCAGAAUUGUUAAUAAGUACUUAAUAUGCUAAAAUAUUAUUGUUAAGAGUGUUACAAACGUACUGAAAAUUGUUUUAUGUGUGGAUGGAUGACAUCUAAUGGUUUAUCAUUGAGUACAGCGGUUUGAGUAUGUAUGUGCGUCAGUAGGACACAGUGAUUUUAGUGAAUCAAUUAACUGGUGUUGUAUCUGUCCAGGUGGAAAAAUCACAGAACGAAAACCUUUCUCAUUGUUGUACUCUCUCUGCUCCAUCCAGGUAUAGAUAAUUGUUCAUUUGAUCUUCAAUUAAUUUUUGUAUCACUUUGUUCAAUUCAUCAAUUCUAAUUCAUGUUUGAUUUAAAAAUUUGCUGCAGAAGAUUAUAUCAUAUCUGGAUAAAUGUCUGUAACGAUUUAUCUGGCACUGUAUUUUUGAUGUUAUCAUUGUGAUUUUCACUGAGACCGCGCUGAGCACGCUGAGGAGAGGUGGAAAAAUCACAGAACGAAAACCUUUCUCAUUGUUGUACUCUCUCUGCUCCAUCCAGGUAUAGAUAAUUGUUCAUUUGAUCUUCAAUUAAUUUUUGUAUCACUUUGUUCAAUUCAUCAAUUCUAAUUCAUGUUUGAUUUAAAAAUUUGCUGCAGAAGAUUAUAUCAUAUCUGGAUAAAUGUCUGUAACGAUUUAUCUGGCACUGUAUUUUUGAUGUUAUCAUUGUGAUUUUCACUGAGACCGCGCUGAGCACGCUGAGGAGAGGUGGAAAAAUCACAGAACGAAAACCUUUCUCAUUGUUGUACUCUCUCUGCUCCAUCCAGCACCUGCAUGCUCCAUUUCAAUAAACCCUCCAUCAGCAGCA